UAGAGUUUGAUCAUGGCUCAGAAGUCGUAACAAGGUAGCCGUAGAGUUUGAUCAUGGCUCAGCCUUUGACUUAAAAAAAUGGAGAAGUCGUAACAAGGUAACCGUAAGUCGUAACAAGGUAACCGUAGAGUUUGAUCAUGGCUCAGCCUUUGACUUAAAAAAAUGGAGAAGUCGUAACAAGAUAACCGUAGAGUUUGAUCAUGGCUCAGAAGUCGUAACAAGGUAGCCGUAAGUCGUAACAAGGUACCGUAGAGUUCGAUCCUGGCUCAGGAUGAACGCUGGCGGCGUGCCUAAUACAUGCAAGUCGAACAAGGUAAGAGUAA
rnacentral:rRNA from 1 species